rnacentral:rRNA from 1 species
UACGUAGGGUGCGAGCGUUGUCCGGAAUUAUUGGGCGUAAAGAGCUCGUAGGCGGUUUGUCGCGUCGGCUGUGAAAACUGGAGGCUUAACCUUCAGCGGGCAGUCGAUACGGGCAGACUUGAGUUCGGUAGGGGAGACUGGAAUUCCUGGUGUAGCGGUGAAAUGCGCAGAUAUCAGGAGGAACACCGGUGGCGAAGGCGGGACUCUGGGCCGAUACUAACGCUGAGGAGCGAAAGCGUGGGGAGCGAACAGG